rnacentral:tRNA from 17 species
GGGCCCAUAGCUCAGUUGGUUAGAGCAGUCGACUCAUAAUCGAUUGGUCGUAGGUUCAAGUCCUACUGGGCCCACCA